UGGAAUGUGUGUGUGAAAUAUAUCUGCAAAAGAUCAUUUGGAAUUUGGUAUAUAUCUUGAUGUGGUUUAUUCAUGUGCAAGGCCAAAUUUUUUUCCCCUGGUGAUUUUAUCAUCAGCGCUCGCAGGUGCUAAUGCCGUCUUAAGGCGGCCAAGGGCACCUCCCGAGGGCAUCCCAUCGCAUCUCAACUAUUCCACGCACGAGCGCAAAGCAAUACAAACUAGAUUACAGGAUGUAGGGUAUUACUCUGCGGAGGCCCGUACCUUUCUAAACCUUCAUGUUCUCGUGAUCAACUUUGAGUUCUUGGUCUCACAAUCCUCC
rnacentral:lncRNA from 1 species